rnacentral:rRNA from 1 species
CGGGAUGGACAUACCUCUGGUGUACCAGUUGUCGUGCCAACGGCAUAGCUGGGUAGCUAUGUAUGGACGGGAUAAGUGCUGAAAGCAUCUAAGCAUGAAGCCCCCCUCGAGAUGAGAUUUCCCAACUUCGGUUAUAAGAUCCCUCAAAGAUGAUGAGGUGAAUAGGUUCGAGGUGGAAGCGUAGUGAUACGUGGAGCUGACGAAUACUAAUCGAUCGAAGACUUAAUCAACAU